rnacentral:rRNA from 1 species
CGUUACUCCCGGUGUUAAGUAUAGCUAGUUUAAGAAAUAUUUUUUUAUGCUUGCCUGGCAACUACGUCUCAAGAGGUAAAAGUCGAAGUACUUGGCGGUCUAGUGAUUAACCAGCCCGUGAGACUUGACGGUUAAUCCGAUAAUCCGCGUAAAUUCUACUCUUUCUUGAAUUCCCAGUUGGUGUAUGGCCGUGCAGUGCUUCCCGUUGAGAGAGUAGCGAGAUCCAUUGCUGUCCAUUAAUUUGGUGCGUCAUAAUUUUUUGUGUCAUGGAGAGUGGAGGAAGGCAGGUCGUCAUGCCGCCCAUGAAGGAGGCUUAGUUGAGUCGCAUUGAUUAGAUCAAGCGGAACCGAGGAAGGAAGCAGCCAGGGGAAGAAGUAAUGGGUAGUAAGAAGAAAAUAAUUCGUUUUUCUGAAUCGUGAACUCCUAGGUGUACAAAUCGCCC